GUCAGGAGGUAAAAAGGCUAUUCUUAUUGGAAUUGAUGGUGAGUCCAGUGUAUUUAAAAAAAAUAUAUAUAUAUUUUGAUUAUUUUGUUUUUAUACUAUACAUUAUUUCAAUAGGUCGCUACAGUGUCAGCUUGCCAACCUUCACAUGCUCAACAUGCCAUAUGAGCAGAACGACCAACUGAUCAAGUCUGGUUACUGGCCUGCCACAGCAAGCUGUGAAACACUGUAUAAAAUUGAUGUGUUUGUGUCAUAUGACCACAUGAAAUUGACUGCUCCUGGACUUUCUAGACAGUCCUUCAUCAGUUUAUUGGAACAGCGGACGGAGUUCUUUGGCCGAGAUGGAAAGAUCUGCACAGAUGCUUUUCAAAGAAGUUUUUUCGAAUGGAGAUACUGCCAGUUCGAAAUUGAUCAGCUCUGUGGACUGAAAGUGUUUGACUGUCCAGCCUGUUCUCCAUUUAUGCUUGCUGUGUCAGUAGAUGGUAACAGGAAAUUGUAUCGCUUCAAAAGAAGGGCUGAAGAUCAUGGUCUGUUCAAGGGUGUCUUUGUCUGUGAGGAUGAAGAUGUUUCCAAGUUCGUGGACUACAUUAAUAAGAAGACAAAGCACUCCGCUGGAAAAGGUGUCUGUGGAUCGAGUCAGUGGACUGCAGCACGGGUGUCCAUCCCAAAGAAAAUCAACAAGCUGGAUGAGGAGGGGAUGGAGGUGGCUGUCUGUCGGCAUGGUGUGCUGCUGAGGAGUCUGAACAUGAUGAGGGGGGAAAUAUUUGCAUAUCCUUUGUUUCUCCAAAAGGAGCUGACUCCAAGGAAUGUUCAGUUCAUGUGCACUGACGUAAUAUGCAAGUACUGGCCAUACCUGCAGAGAGUUAAUGAUUGUCCAGAGCUUUCUCCUCUCCUGCACAUGAAGCCAUUCCUGUCAGUGAUGCAUGCAAAGGCCCACUCUUGGAGAUGUGAGGUAAACUGUUUUCCAGAACAUGAGGGUACCAAUUUGUGACUUGUGCAUUUAUGAUCAGUAAUUGUGAAAUUGUGUGUAUAUUCUAAAAGAUGUGGUUGUUUUAUUUGUUAAAUAUUUGCUCUCCAUGCACAAGAUUAAGUGGGGUGGCCGAAACCAAGAAGGAGCAGGCACCACCUUGGGUGAAGAGGUGGAGCGAGUAAACAGCUUCUUGUGGAGAACUGCUAUAUGCAGUAAAUACAUGACCAAAGGAGCUAGGACAGACAUGAUUACUAUCUAGGCCAUGGCAUGGAAUCAACACAAAAUUGACAACCUUGCAAACUUGCUGUCCCGAAGAUUAAUAAAGACAAAAGCACAAAUUCAGGAGGAGUCCCUAAACCUUGAUGCACUAAAGACAGAGUUUGCAGUAACCGAUGACACGCUUUAAGACUGGACCAGUGAGAUCCAGCAGUGGGCUGACACAGCAACAAGUAAGGAGAAUGCAAGCAGUCAACAGGGACUCCAGAAGACAACUGAGACGCGAGAUCUUUACCGUCAAACAGAUGGAAACAAAAGAAGACACAAACUCCGUAUAAAAAAUUUUGGAGGAAAAGGCCAAAUUUAGUGCGGCUGUAGAUGAGUACAACAGGGAAGCACCUGAAAAGCUGCAGUCAGCUGACACAGUUCUGGCAUCUGAGAGCUGUGCAUGGCCAUGGGUGCUGGAUGAGCGUGGUAUGUUAUGUUACUCAUUCAGAUGUAUGUACUGUAUUUACAGUAUGUAGCAGCUUAUCUGCUUAAUUUAUGAUACUCAUUUAAUUUCCAUUAAAUCUUAACUGUCUAUAUUACUUGAUAAAACACUGACAAGGUGUUGUGCAAAUGUGUAAUCCUACUGUUAAAUUCUUGUUUUUAUAUUAAAUUUCAUAAUUGACAUGGUAAAAAUUACACUGUAAAACAUUACUUGCACUCACUAUUGUAAAAUAGCUUCUUGAUGUAACAAACCUGUAAUAUUCAUGACUAUCUGUACAUUGUUUUACCAAAAUGUACCAAAUUCAUGACAAAUUCAGACAGAGAACCUGACAACCAAUUUUAUUGUUUUCAGUAUGAGUGUGCUGCAGAUUUCAUGUAAUGUAGAUUUGUAGAUAAUGUAGAUGUAAUGUAGAUAAUGUAGAUGUUUGGAAAUGCAUGUACAGUAUGUGUUUGCAGUGACCUGUCCAAUAAAUGUGCUAAACUCUAGAGCUGACAUGUUACUAAAAUGCCUGCCUAGGUCCUUUUUCAUCCUUGCCCUAAUAGACUGAUUGACAACUGGUUAAUCUGAUUUAUAGCCCAUUUCAGGCGAGUACUAUUGGAUUUGUGUGUAAUGAUUCAAACUCAGGAUCUUAUUUCAGGCUUAAGACUGUUUUCAGAAGCUCACAUGUGCCACAUCUUUUUAAAAGCCUAAAAACAGCUCAAACAUGCAUUUUAGUCCAGGACUAUCUUAAGCCUUGUCUGUGAA